rfam:Bilophila wadsworthia 3_1_6 genomic scaffold acCls-supercont2.1, whole genome shotgun sequence.
GCCGAAGUGGUGGAAUUGGUAGACACGCUAGGUUCAGGGUCUAGUGAAGGUUCCUUCAUGGGAGUUCGAGUCUCCCCUUCGGCA